CUUCGCUGAUCAGCAUUUGUUGAAGCAGACAAGGUGUCUCCAUUUAAUAGCCCUUACUGGCUUGUUCUUCAAGGUUUCCCUUUUUGAACUCCUGUAAGCCUCGCUAUACCACAGAAGGGACUUCCUCCUCUCAGCUCUGUGCUGCAAGAAGAAACCAAUUCCCCUGGCUCCCUUUUAAUAGGCCACUCAAGAGCUUCACCUGGUGAAAACGCAGUUCCUCUUUGCCUGCUCACAGCUGUACCUCGCCUGUUCUCACAACACCUAGGUUGUUCCUCACGUAGCAGAGCAUCUCAGGCCUCGUUUGUUUCAGAAAUGGAAGGAGUUAAUCCCUUCCUUGGCAUGCUGCGAGCUGCAGCCAGCUGCCCGUGAAAUGGCAUCCCUGCUCCCGUGGAGUUCAUGUGUACACAAGCUCCUGAUAAGCGUGCUCUGCUGGGCUGCGCGUGGCCACCCCUCGCUCCUCAGCCAGGAGGGGUGCUUGGCGAGUUGCCGUGUAUUUUCAGGCUAAUUCUCCUCCAAAAGCUCUCCAGAGGUGGCUCACACCGAGCUAACCAGCCAUGUCAGCUCAAACCUUGGCCACACGGGGAGAGAAGUCCCACACGUUUCGCCUUCGUUUCAUGACUCACGGGGGCUCUGCUCGCUGCCAGAUGGAGCUGCACUGAGCCCUUCUCUGUGCUGACCGGGCUUUUACCUCCGUGCAAAAUACUGCUGCGGCCACAUGGCCCCAAAACGGGCAUCGGGGAGAUGGAGCUGCAUCCAGAACAUCUUGCUUAAUCCCACGGAUUCCAGUCCCUGCAGAAAUAGAAACAAUCACCUUCUCCCAGAGGAGCUUGCUGUAUCGAGUUUCCAGUGCUCAGAGUAACCAAGAUAAAUCAGUAUCAUCGUUGCGGCUGGUAGAUUAAAUGCUCCUUUCCUCUUAUGUUAA